AUUGAACGCUGGCGGCAGGCCUAACACAUGCAAGUCGAAUGGUAACAGGAAACAGCUUGCUGUUUCGCUGACGGGUGGCGGACGGGUGAGUAAUGUCUGGGAAACUGCCUGAUGGAGGGGGAUAACUACUGGAAACGGUAGCUAAUACCGCAUAACGUCGCAAGACCAAAGAGGGGGACCUUCGGGCCUCUUGCCAUCAGAUGUGCCCAGAUGGGAUUAGCUAGUAGGUGGGGUAACGGCUCACCUAGGCGACGAUCCCUAGCUGGUCUGAGAGGAUGACCAGCCACACUGGAACUGAGACACGGUCCAGACUCCUACGGGAGGCAGCAGUGGGGAAUAUUGCACAAUGGGCGCAAGCCUGAUGCAGCCAUGCCGCGUGUAUGAAGAAGGCCUUCGGGUUGUAAAGUACUUUCAGCGGGGAGGAAGGGAGUAAAGUUAAUACCUUGGCUCAUUGACGUUACCCGCAGAAGAAGCACCGGCUAACUCCGUG
rnacentral:rRNA from 1 species